AAGUCGUAACAAGGUUUCCGUAGGUGAACCUGCGGAAGGAUCAUUACCCUUUUCCUAGCUAUUUUAAAUAGCUUUGUCUGGGGGGCUGCAGUUUUCUGCAGUCUCUGACUACAUCCGUGUUUUUUUGCGUACUACAUGUUUUCCUCGGCGGGCUUGCUUGCCGGUUGGACAAACUAAAACUCUUGCAAUUGCAAUCAGCGUCGAAUUAUAUAAUAAUUACAA
rnacentral:misc_RNA from 1 species